rnacentral:lncRNA from 1 species
AUGCCCCCUCACGGACGUGCUGCGGGAACCCCCGGGGCGAAUGCAGGAAGAAAUCGUCUGACUAGCAUCCCACCCACCACGUCGAAGAGAAGGCGGCCUAGUAGGGGACAGCGGAGAAGGAGGAAGGCUGAGCCUCCCAAGGCCGCCCGGUGGGUGAAGUCAGGGACUGGCUUGUGGUCCAGGCCUCCUAUUGCCCAUCCCAGGGCUCCUCUCAUGGCACUUCAGACACACUUCUCUGCUUCUGGAGGACAAAGUACUCUCCCAAGAACAUAGCCCAGAGAGCCCGGACAGAACCAAGAACAACUGAAGAUGAGUUUGGAGAGCAGAAUAUGAUCCAAAUUAUUCUAAAACACCACUUGGGUUUUUCAGAAAGGAGGUGCCUUUUUUUUUUUUUUUUUUUUAUUAGUUUGUGUGCUUGAGAGCAACUCCAACCACCAAGGAAGAUGUGCCUUGGGAGGCCUGUCACGACGGAGACAGUCCUCAUUUUGAAACUUCUAAAUGAAUCCCAGUCUUGUCAUUGAAAGACUGCUGGGAGAGAGUGAAUUGGCACAUCAUUAUGGAAAACAAUUAGUCAUUAUCCUGACAAGCUGAAGAUGCUUCCACCCUAUGAUCCAGAAAGUCUAUUCCUCGGAGUAGAACCUAAAAAAUCUCUUGGAUGUGUGUUCUGGGAGGAACGGAUGAGAAUGUUCCUGCAGGAUUACCAGUGAUAGUGAAAUAAAAGGACACAGCGCAAAUGCCCACCACGUGACAGAGGAUGAGUCAAUCGUGUGUGUUCACACCAUGGGGGAUGAGUGAACUGCAGCUUUCCUUUUUUUUUUUUUUUCCUUUAAGGAUUUUGUUUAUUUACUCAUGAGAGAGACACACAGAGAGAGGCAGAGACACAGGCAGAGGGAGAAGCAGGCCCCCUGCGGGGAGCCCAAUGGGGGACUCGAUUCCAGGACCCUGGGGUCAUGACCUGAGCUGAAGACAGACGCUCAACCACUGAGCCACCGGGAGCCCCUGAACUACAGCUUUAAACGAUAAUGUGGAUAAAUCUCAGGAACAUAAUGGUGAGGGAAAAGACCAAGUCUCUGAAGACUACCUAGAGUAUGGUCUUAUUUAUGGGAAAUUAAAGAAAUUAGCAGCAGAAGUACUCGGUUGGGGCACAAACCUAUACAGUGAAGUUAUAAAGAAGAGCAAAGGACCGAGAAGAAGGAAGUUCAGGUAGUGGUAUGGGGGCAGGCAGGGAGGGGCGCAGAAGGCUGAAAGAGCAGCCAAUUGAUUGCAGCUGGGUGAUGGGUAUAUGGGGG